CGAGCCGGCCGGACGGCCGCGUCGGGGGCCUCCGGGCUCCCGCCGAGGAAAGUCCGGGCUCCACAGGGCAGGGUGGUCGGUAACGCCGACCCGGGGUGACCCGCGGGACAGUGCCACAGAAAGCAGACCGCCACCGGUCCGCCGGUGGUAAGGGUGAAACGGUGAGGUAAGAGCUCACCAGCGCCCACGGUGACGUGGGCGGCUCGGUAAACCCCACCCGGAGCAAGGUCAAGAAGGGAAGCGGCGCUUCCCGCGCAGGCGUUCGAGGGCGGCCCGCCCGAGCCUGCGGGUAGACCGCUGGAGGACGCCGGCAACGGCGUCCCGAGAUGGAUGGCCGUCGCCCGCCGCGCGAGCGGCGGAGCACAGAACCCGGCUUACAGGCCGGCUCGUCCA
rnacentral:RNase_P_RNA from 1 species